GUGCUUGCUUGAGCAGCACUUAUGCUAGAAAAUUGGAACAAAAUAGAGAUUAGCAUGGCCCCUGCACAAGGAUGACACAAAAUUCAUGAAGUGGGGGGCAGCUAA